GCAUAUCAAUAAGCGGAGGAAAAGAAACCAACAGGGAUUGCCCUAGUAACGGCGAGUGAAGCGGCAACAGCUCAAAUUUGAAAUCUGGCGCAAGCCCGAGUUGUAAUUUGUAGAGGAUGCUUCAGGGCAGCGGCCGGUCUAAGUUCCUUGGAACAGGACGUCAUAGAGGGUGAGAAUCCCGUAUGCGACCGGUUGGCACCCGUCACGUAGCUCCUUCGACGAGUCGAGUUGUUUGGGAAUGCAGCUCUAAAUGGGAGGUAAAUUUCUUCUAAAGCUAAAUACCGGCCAGAGACCGAUAGCGCACAAGUAGAGUGAUCGAAAGAUGAAAAGCACUUUGGAAAGAGAGUUAAAAAGCACGUGAAAUUGUUGAAAGGGAAGCGCAUGCAACCAGACUUGUCGGCGGUGUUCCACCGGUCUUCUGACCGGUUCAUUCGCCGCCGGCAGGCCAGCAUCAUCUGGGAGCGCCGGAUAAAGGCGUAGGGAAUGUGGCUCCUCGGAGUGUUAUAGCCCUUCGCACAAUACGGCGCCUCUCGGGUGAGGUCCGCGCUUCGGCUAGGAUGCUGGCGUAAUGGUUGUCUGCGGCCCGUCUUGAAACACGGACCAAGGAGUCUAACAUCUAUGCGAGUGUUCGGGUGUCAAACCCCUACGCGUAAUGAAAGUGAACGGAGGUGGGAAGCGCAAGCUGCACCAUCGACCGAUCCUGAUGUCUUCGGAUGGAUUUGAGUAAGAGCAUAGCUGUUGGGACCCGAAAGAUGGUGAACUAUGCCUGAAUAGGGUGAAGCCAGAGGAAACUCUGGUGGAGGCUCGCAGCGGUUCUGACGUGCAAAUCGAUCGUCAAAUUUGGGUAUAGGGGGCGAAAGACUAAUCGAACCAUCUAGUAGCUGGUUCCUGCCG
rnacentral:rRNA from 1 species